UGGCGAACGGGUGAGUAACACGUGGGUAAUCUGCCCUGCACUCUGGGAUAAGCCUGGGAAACUGGGUCUAAUACUGGAUAUGACCUUUCUCCUUAUGGGGUUUGGUGGAAAGUUUUUCGGUGUAGGAUGAGCCCGCGGUCUAUCAGCUUGUUGGUGGGGUGAUGGCCUACCAAGGCGACGACGGGUAGCCGGCCUGAGAGGGUGAUCGGCCACAUUGGGACUGAGAUACGGCCCAG
rnacentral:rRNA from 1 species